CAGCAUCAAAAAACAUCAAAUGCUACAUUAAAAAAGGAGUUUUCAGGGCUGCCAACCUUUAUAGAUGAGAUUGAAUGGCAGCAUAGUUUUCCUACAUUA